UACGUAGGGUCCGAGCGUUGUCCGGAAUUAUUGGGCGUAAAGAGCUCGUAGGCGGUGUGUCACGUCGGCCGUGAAAACCUGCAGCUUAACUGUGGGCGUGCGGUCGAUACGGGCAUCACUGGAGUUCGGCAGGGGAGACUGGAAUUCCUGGUGUAGCGGUGAAAUGCGCAGAUAUCAGGAGGAACACCGGUGGCGAAGGCGGGUCUCUGGGCCGAUACUGACGCUGAGACGCGAAAGCGUGGGGAGCGAACAGG
rnacentral:rRNA from 1 species